rnacentral:rRNA from 1 species
CAGCAGUAGGGAAUCUUCCGCAAUGGACGAAAGUCUGACGGAGCAACGCCGCGUGAGUGAUGAAGGUUUUCGGAUCGUAAAGCUCUGUUGUUAGGGAAGAACAAGUGCAAGAGUAACUGCUUGCACCUUGACGGUACCUAACCAGAAAGCCACGGCUAACUACGUGCCAGCAGCCGCGGUAAUACGUAGGUGGCAAGCGUUGUCCGGAAUUAUUGGGCGUAAAGGGCUCGCAGGCGGUUUCUUAAGUCUGAUGUGAAAGCCCCCGGCUCAACCGGGGAGGGUCAUUGGAAACUGGGAAACUUGAGUGCAGAAGAGGAGAGUGGAAUUCCACGUGUAGCGGUGAAAUGCGUAGAGAUGUGGAGGAACACCAGUGGCGAAGGCGACUCUCUGGUCUGUAACUGACGCUGAGGAGCGAAAGCGUGGGGAGCGAACAGGAUUAGAUACCCUGGUAGUCCACGCCGUAAACGAUGAGUGCUAAGUGUUAGGGGGUUUCCGCCCCUUAGUGCUGCAGCUAACGCAUUAAGCACUCCGCCUGGGGAGUACGGUCGCAAGACUGAAACUCAAAGGAAUUGACGGGGGCCCGCACAAGCGGUGGAGCAUGUGGUUUAAUUCGAAGCAACGCGAAGAACCUUACCAGGUCUUGACAUCCU